rnacentral:rRNA from 1 species
CCUACGGGGGGCAGCAGUGGGGAAUAUUGCGCAAUGGGGGCAACCCUGACGCAGCCAUGCCGCGUGUGUGAAGAAGGCCCUAGGGUUGUAAAGCACUUUCAAUUGGGAGGAAAGGUUGUCCGUUAAUAACGUGCAACUGUGACGUUACCUUUAGAAGAAGCACCGGCUAACUCCGUGCCAGCAGCCGCGGUAAUACGGAGGGUGCGAGCGUUAAUCGGAAUUACUGGGCGUAAAGCGCGCGUAGGCGGUUUGUUAAGUCGGAUGUGAAAGCCCCGGGCUCAACCUGGGAACUGCAUUCGAUACUGGCCGACUAGAGUACGAGAGAGGGAGGUAGAAUUCCACGUGUAGCGGUGAAAUGCGUAGAUAUGUGGAGGAAUACCGGUGGCGAAGGCGGCCUCCUGGCUCGAUACUGACGCUGAGGUGCGAAAGCGUGGGGAGCAAACAGGAUUAGAUACCCCCGUAGUC